AUUGAACGCUGGCGGCAUGCCUUACACAUGCAAGUCGAACGGCAGCACGGGAGCUUGCUCCUGGUGGCGAGUGGCGAACGGGUGAGUAAUACAUCGGAACGUACCCAGGAGUGGGGGAUAACGUAGCGAAAGUUACGCUAAUACCGCAUAUUCUGUGAGCAGGAAAGCGGGGGAUCGCAAGACCUCGCGCUCUUGGAGCGGCCGAUGUCGGAUUAGCUAGUUGGUGAGGUAAGAGCUCACCAAGGCGACGAUCCGUAGCAGGUCUGAGAGGAUGAUCUGCCACACUGGGACUGAGACACGGCCCAGACUCCUACGGGAGGCAGCAGUGGGGAAUUUUGGACAAUGGGGGCAACCCUGAUCCAGCCAUGCCGCGUGAGUGAAGAAGGCCUUCGGGUUGUAAAGCUCUUUCGGCGGGGAAGAAAUGGCAACGGCUAAUAUCCGUUGUUGAUGACGGUACCCGCAUAAGAAGCACCGGCUAACUACGUGCCAGCAGCCGCCGUAACAC
rnacentral:rRNA from 1 species